CCUACGGGAGGCAGCAGUGGGGAAUCUUGCGCAAUGGGCGAAAGCCUGACGCAGCCAUGCCGCGUGAAUGAUGAAGGUCUUAGGAUUGUAAAAUUCUUUCACCGGGGACGAUAAUGACGGUACCCGGGAGAAGAAGCCCCCGGCUAACUUCGUGCCAGCAGCCGCGGUAAUACGAAGGGGGCUAGCGUUGCUCGGGAAUUACUGGGCGUAAAGGGAGCGUAGGCGGAUAGUUUAGUCAGAGGUGAAAGCCCAGGGCUCAACCUUGGAAUUGCCCUUUGAUACUGGCUAUCUUGAGUAUGGGAGAGGUUAGCGGAACUCCGAGUGUAGAGGUGAAAUUCGUAGAUAUUCGGAAGAACACCAGUGGCGAAGGCGGCUAACUGGCCCAUUACUGACGCUGAGGCUCGAAAGCGUGGGGAGCAAACAGGAUUAGAUACCCUGGUAGGUCCACGCCGUAAACGAUGAGUGCUAGUUGUCGGCAAUGCAUGCAUGUCGGUGACGCAGCUAACGACAUAAGACACUCCGCCGUGGGAGGUACGGUCGCGAGAUUAAACUACAAGAAGUUAGACGACGUGAGACGUGCCGAACGGACGACGACGAGGGAGGUAGG
rnacentral:rRNA from 1 species